rnacentral:rRNA from 1 species
AGCAGCCGCGGUAAUUCCAGCUCCAAUAGCGUAUAUUAAAGUUGUCGCAGUUAAAAAGCUCGUAGUUGAAUUUCGGGGUCAGCAGGUUGGUCGUGCCACUGGUAUGCACUGGCCUUGCUGAUUCCUCCCUCUUGAUGAGCCGUAAUGCCAUUAAUUUGGUGUUGCGGGGAAUCAGGACUGUUACUUUGAAAAAAUUAGAGUGUUUAAAGCAGGCAAGCGCUUGAAUACAUUAGCAUGGAAUAAUGAAAUAGGACGUUCGAUCCUAUUUUGUUGGUUUCUAGGAUUGACGUAAUGAUUAAUAGGGAUAGUUGGGGGCAUUAGUAUUCAAUUGUCAGAGGUGAAAUUCUUGGAUUUAUUGAAGACUAACUACUGCGAAAGCAUUUGCCAAGGAUGUUUUCAUUAAUCAAGAACGAAAGUUAGGGGAUCGAAGACGAUCAGGUACCGUCGUAG